UUUUGCUUAAAUAAAGAAAUUGUUUAACCCUUUCAUCAACAGACGAUAGAUAACUUUGGGUUAUCCAGUGAAGCUAAACACUAUCUCUGACCCAGGACAAUGGUCGUACCCUUCAUUGACCUUGUGUAUCCAGCUUGAACUGCCUCCUAUUGCUAAGUGGAGGCCAAAGUGAUUAGUUUUGUCUAUGAGAAAACCAAGUGGAAUGUGGUAAAGUUGCUUAAUACCGACAGU